rnacentral:lncRNA from 1 species
AAAAUCGUCUCCAAAGGGUGAGAAAAAAACUAGAAGAGAAAAGUCUCCCAUCAGCUCAUCUUCUAGGGAACAUGGAACAACAGGGUUAACAUCACCCACCAAUUCCAGUUCAUCUUCUAGGAAACAUGGACGAACAGGCUUAACAUCACCUACCAGUUGUAAGUUUUCUGUAAACCUUGGAAAGGCGAGUGCUAUGAAGUUCUCUCCUCAAUCCAAAAGACGGCGUAGAUCUCCAUUAAUCGAGCCAGUUAACGUACAUUCAGCAGGGUGACACUGACAUUUGCAGCAGCUUAUUCCUCUCAGCCUGGAAUGAUUUAAUUCAAGACAUUUGCUGAAUGUCUUACCCCUUAGUUAAGUUUGUGUAUUCAUUAGAUUCCUAGUUCUCACUAAUUAGUAGUUUUUUCAGUUUUCAUCUGUAUCAUUAUUGCUAUUGCCCCAAGUUUAACAUAUUUGAUGUAAUGAUAUCACCAUGUAACACCAUACAUUCUUAUUAAUGUACGUAAUAAUUUCCUUCAUUCUCAAUCUCACAGUGCUGUUAGAGUCAUAUUUUUUUUUUUUUUUUUUGUGUUUUAAAGAAUCGAGCGGCGAAAUUCACACACAUUAAAUGCUGAGAAGUGGAUAAUUGUGGAUUCAAACCUAUUCCCCCUAUUUAAUCUCUAAGCAACCUUUUACCACCUGAGUUGUACUUAUAAUAAGUUGUUAAGUCGUGUUAUUUCAAACCUAAUGGAACAUUUGUUCUCAUGGGGAGAUAAAUAAAUUCUCAUGGUUACCCUUUUCCUUAUAAUUUGAAAUGGACAAAAUACACACAUGCCAUUGGAAUAAAACCAAAAUGUUUAUGUGAAAAGAAAACAAUAAGGUACUUUUGCAUCUACUCUUUUUUUUGGUAUAAAUUGGGUAUCCUCCGCGCGCAACUGCAGUUGUGGGACUCAAAUAAGCGGCAAACUCUCCCUAAAAGUUUUUACACUACUGCAUGCUCAAGGUUGGAUUCGAACAAAGAAUCUUAGGUAAGUUAGAAGAGACUUGUGAUAUCUCAUUUAAGCGAUCUUGGUUUUUUUGCAUCUACUCUCGGGUCACUAUUAUAAAGUAUAAAUAAAUAUUUCUUUUUCAUCUUAAUUGAAUAUUUGAUGUAUCUGAUAUGUCAGUAAAUCUAUGAAUCCUAAAUCAACAUUUUUUCUUUAAUACAGAACGUGGUAUAUUCAACAAUGCAAUUACUAUUGGAAGAAAGUGACUGCACUUUGAUUAGUUGGUGAAGCAAAUUUCAACCAAGUUGCACCAUAUAUAGACCAGUGAACAAUCAGAUAUUUGUUCCAUUUCAUUAUUGUGUUCACCCAAUAGUCUUGAGUCUUGACUCGUGAAUCCACCACUUAAGUAACAUGACACAUGAUUUUAGAAAAACAAACAGUAAAACGUGUGGGGUUACUAAGUGGGGUUAGGGGAACAAAUUUACGCGCUAUUAUUUGGUACUAAUGACAACCUACGAUCAAGGAAAGCAGAUUUUCAUGGUUAAAAUUGUCGGGUUCAGAUUCACUAUUUGGAGCCUUGUCAAUAUCAAAUAAUUUAAAAUUCUUUGACAUUAUUUUGGCAAAUACUACCAAUUUUAUUUUAGUUUUUUAUUAGGAAGAAAAUGGAGUUAGGCCAUUAGGGAUGUUCAUAUUUUGUAUUGUCACUCCAUUGUAUCACUGUGACACCAUUUAUUCUUGAAGCGUUUAAAACAAUUAAGGGUUAAUAGUGCUUUUUAUCCUGUAAUAUAUGUUAUUUUCGGUUUUCGUCCCUAUAAAAUUUUUGGUUUGAUUUGCAUCCUCGUAAAAUAUAUUUUUUUUCGGAAAACAUCCUUAAUAGGCCAUUCAAAAACCAAAAUUUCUUGAAAAAAAAUUCUGAAAAUGGGCUAUUAAAGGUGUUUUCCUGAAAAUAAAAUUUUUACGAGGACACAAAUUAAACCGAAAAUUUUAUAGGGACGAAAACCGGAAAUGACAUAUAUUACAGGAGUGAAAAACACUGUUAACCCAACAAUUAAUACAACCAGGAUAGUUUCUUUUUUUUUUUGAAGGAAACAAGGAUAGUUCAUAGUUGCAUAAUGUAACUGGCUCUGGCUACGGUAGGCGACCUUAAUGGGUCUCCUACCAUAAGAGAUUACAAUUUUUAUUAUUUUUUUUAGUUUGUAAAUUGGUUGUGAGCCAUUGAAUUUAGAAAGAACAUUUUGAAUGGCACAGAUUUCUUGGCAGGUUGACGCACUAGGAUAGUAUAUUUUAAUCUUUAAAGUUGAUAUUUAAUAACUUAAAUGAUUUUUCAAACAAUUUACGUAAAGGGUGUUAUUGUCAACUAUAUACAUCAUUUAAUGAAUGAAUCUAAAAUGUUAGUUUUACUUAUAAUAGUGACCGGAGGGUGUACUCCAAACAUAACCCUAAUUAAUACUACUAAUUAAUACUAGAUGCAUUUAUUAUUAUUUUUUCAAACAUAACCCUAAUUAAUACUACUAAUUUACCUUCUUUUUUUUUUUACGUUUAUUUACCUUGGAAUAUGAAAAAGUCAAAUUUGAAUAUACUACUAAUUUACCUUAUAUCAACGUUUAUUAUUAUUUUUUCAAACAUAACUCCAAUGCCNAAAAAAACCGUCUCAAGAGGGUGAGAAAAGAACUGGAAGAGAAAAAUCUCCAACAAAAAAACCGUCUCAAGAGGGUGAGAAAAGAACUGGAAGAGAAAAAUCUCCAACAAAAAAACCGUCUCAAGAGGGUGAGAAAAGAACUGGAAGAGAAAAAUCUCCAACAAAAAAACCGUCUCAAGAGGGUGAGAAAAGAACUGGAAGAGAAAAAUCUCCAACAAAAAAACCGUCUCAAGAGGGUGAGAAAAGAACUGGAAGAGAAAAAUCUCCAACAAAAAAACCGUCUCAAGAGGGUGAGAAAAGAACUGGAAGAGAAAAAUCUCCAACAAAAAAACCGUCUCAAGAGGGUGAGAAAAGAACUGGAAGAGAAAAAUCUCCAACAAAAAAACCGUCUCAAGAGGGUGAGAAAAGAACUGGAAGAGAAAAAUCUCCAACAAAAAAACCGUCUCAAGAGGGUGAGAAAAGAACUGGAAGAGAAAAAUCUCCAACAAAAAAACCGUCUCAAGAGGGUGAGAAAAGAACUGGAAGAGAAAAAUCUCCAACAAAAAAACCGUCUCAAGAGGGUGAGAAAAGAACUGGAAGAGAAAAAUCUCCAACAAAAAAACCGUCUCAAGAGGGUGAGAAAAGAACUGGAAGAGAAAAAUCUCCAACAAAAAAACCGUCUCAAGAGGGUGAGAAAAGAACUGGAAGAGAAAAAUCUCCAACAAAAAAACCGUCUCAAGAGGGUGAGAAAAGAACUGGAAGAGAAAAAUCUCCAACAAAAAAACCGUCUCAAGAGGGUGAGAAAAGAACUGGAAGAGAAAAAUCUCCAACAAAAAAACCGUCUCAAGAGGGUGAGAAAAGAACUGGAAGAGAAAAAUCUCCAACAAAAAAACCGUCUCAAGAGGGUGAGAAAAGAACUGGAAGAGAAAAAUCUCCAACAAAAAAACCGUCUCAAGAGGGUGAGAAAAGAACUGGAAGAGAAAAAUCUCCAACAAAAAAACCGUCUCAAGAGGGUGAGAAAAGAACUGGAAGAGAAAAAUCUCCAACAAAAAAACCGUCUCAAGAGGGUGAGAAAAGAACUGGAAGAGAAAAAUCUCCAACAAAAAAACCGUCUCAAGAGGGUGAGAAAAGAACUGGAAGAGAAAAAUCUCCAACAAAAAAACCGUCUCAAGAGGGUGAGAAAAGAACUGGAAGAGAAAAAUCUCCAACAAAAAAACCGUCUCAAGAGGGUGAGAAAAGAACUGGAAGAGAAAAAUCUCCAACAAAAAAACCGUCUCAAGAGGGUGAGAAAAGAACUGGAAGAGAAAAAUCUCCAACAAAAAAACCGUCUCAAGAGGGUGAGAAAAGAACUGGAAGAGAAAAAUCUCCAACAAAAAAACCGUCUCAAGAGGGUGAGAAAAGAACUGGAAGAGAAAAAUCUCCAACAAAAAAACCGUCUCAAGAGGGUGAGAAAAGAACUGGAAGAGAAAAAUCUCCAACAAAAAAACCGUCUCAAGAGGGUGAGAAAAGAACUGGAAGAGAAAAAUCUCCAACAAAAAAACCGUCUCAAGAGGGUGAGAAAAGAACUGGAAGAGAAAAAUCUCCAACAAAAAAACCGUCUCAAGAGGGUGAGAAAAGAACUGGAAGAGAAAAAUCUCCAACAAAAAAACCGUCUCAAGAGGGUGAGAAAAGAACUGGAAGAGAAAAAUCUCCAACAAAAAAACCGUCUCAAGAGGGUGAGAAAAGAACUGGAAGAGAAAAAUCUCCAACAAAAAAACCGUCUCAAGAGGGUGAGAAAAGAACUGGAAGAGAAAAAUCUCCAACAAAAAAACCGUCUCAAGAGGGUGAGAAAAGAACUGGAAGAGAAAAAUCUCCAACAAAAAAACCGUCUCAAGAGGGUGAGAAAAGAACUGGAAGAGAAAAAUCUCCAACAAAAAAACCGUCUCAAGAGGGUGAGAAAAGAACUGGAAGAGAAAAAUCUCCAACAAAAAAACCGUCUCAAGAGGGUGAGAAAAGAACUGGAAGAGAAAAAUCUCCAACAAAAAAACCGUCUCAAGAGGGUGAGAAAAGAACUGGAAGAGAAAAAUCUCCAACAAAAAAACCGUCUCAAGAGGGUGAGAAAAGAACUGGAAGAGAAAAAUCUCCAACAAAAAAACCGUCUCAAGAGGGUGAGAAAAGAACUGGAAGAGAAAAAUCUCCAACAAAAAAACCGUCUCAAGAGGGUGAGAAAAGAACUGGAAGAGAAAAAUCUCCAACAAAAAAACCGUCUCAAGAGGGUGAGAAAAGAACUGGAAGAGAAAAAUCUCCAACAAAAAAACCGUCUCAAGAGGGUGAGAAAAGAACUGGAAGAGAAAAAUCUCCAACAAAAAAACCGUCUCAAGAGGGUGAGAAAAGAACUGGAAGAGAAAAAUCUCCAACAAAAAAACCGUCUCAAGAGGGUGAGAAAAGAACUGGAAGAGAAAAAUCUCCAACAAAAAAACCGUCUCAAGAGGGUGAGAAAAGAACUGGAAGAGAAAAAUCUCCAACAAAAAAACCGUCUCAAGAGGGUGAGAAAAGAACUGGAAGAGAAAAAUCUCCAACAAAAAAACCGUCUCAAGAGGGUGAGAAAAGAACUGGAAGAGAAAAAUCUCCAACAAAAAAACCGUCUCAAGAGGGUGAGAAAAGAACUGGAAGAGAAAAAUCUCCAACAAAAAAACCGUCUCAAGAGGGUGAGAAAAGAACUGGAAGAGAAAAAUCUCCAACAAAAAAACCGUCUCAAGAGGGUGAGAAAAGAACUGGAAGAGAAAAAUCUCCAACAAAAAAACCGUCUCAAGAGGGUGAGAAAAGAACUGGAAGAGAAAAAUCUCCAACAAAAAAACCGUCUCAAGAGGGUGAGAAAAGAACUGGAAGAGAAAAAUCUCCAACAAAAAAACCGUCUCAAGAGGGUGAGAAAAGAACUGGAAGAGAAAAAUCUCCAACAAAAAAACCGUCUCAAGAGGGUGAGAAAAGAACUGGAAGAGAAAAAUCUCCAACAAAAAAACCGUCUCAAGAGGGUGAGAAAAGAACUGGAAGAGAAAAAUCUCCAACAAAAAAACCGUCUCAAGAGGGUGAGAAAAGAACUGGAAGAGAAAAAUCUCCAACAAAAAAACCGUCUCAAGAGGGUGAGAAAAGAACUGGAAGAGAAAAAUCUCCAACAAAAAAACCGUCUCAAGAGGGUGAGAAAAGAACUGGAAGAGAAAAAUCUCCAACAAAAAAACCGUCUCAAGAGGGUGAGAAAAGAACUGGAAGAGAAAAAUCUCCAACAAAAAAACCGUCUCAAGAGGGUGAGAAAAGAACUGGAAGAGAAAAAUCUCCAACAAAAAAAUCGUCUCCAAAGGGUGAGAAAAAAACUAGAAGAGAAAAGUCUCCCAUCAGCUCAUCUUCUAGGGAACAUGGAACAACAGGGUUAACAUCACCCACCAAUUCCAGUUCAUCUUCUAGGAAACAUGGACGAACAGGCUUAACAUCACCUACCAGUUGUAAGUUUUCUGUAAACCUUGGAAAGGCGAGUGCUAUGAAGUUCUCUCCUCAAUCCAAAAGACGGCGUAGAUCUCCAUUAAUCGAGCCAGUUAACGUACAUUCAGCAGGGUGACACUGACAUUUGCAGCAGCUUAUUCCUCUCAGCCUGGAAUGAUUUAAUUCAAGACAUUUGCUGAAUGUCUUACCCCUUAGUUAAGUUUGUGUAUUCAUUAGAUUCCUAGUUCUCACUAAUUAGUAGUUUUUUCAGUUUUCAUCUGUAUCAUUAUUGCUAUUGCCCCAAGUUUAACAUAUUUGAUGUAAUGAUAUCACCAUGUAACACCAUACAUUCUUAUUAAUGUACGUAAUAAUUUCCUUCAUUCUCAAUCUCACAGUGCUGUUAGAGUCAUGUUUUUUUUUUUUUUUUUU